rnacentral:tRNA from 1 species
GGUUUUUUAAUAUAUUUUUAAUAUGUUCAAUUUUUAUUUUUAAAAUGUAAUUAAUUAAAUUUAUUAGACACAAAAAUUUUUACUAUUUUACAUUGUCUAAUAUUAAAAAAACAGACUAAAUGUCUGUAUAAAUAUAAAAUAUAACAACAAAACAAAUUAAUUCAAACUACUUCGAAUAUAUCCAAAGAUAACAUUUGAUUAAAAUAAUUAAUUCAAAUUUACUAAAUAUUC